UUUGUUCUUCACUCCCAAAUAACAAACCCUAACUCCAUUCUCCACUUCGCAGCAUUUUCCCCUACCCCGAGCUUGCCUUCUUCGAAUCUUCCAUCCCAACUCAAAAAAAAUUUGAAUCAGUCAGAGAGCUUACUUUCUCUCCCAAUAACAAAUCUGAACUCCAAAUCGUAAAAAUCUUCCCCUGCCCUGUUCUUGGCUUUUCCGAAUCAUCCAUCCAACUCCACAUCGUAGAAGGCUUCCUAUCAUUCUCUCUCCCACAUCAUCUCCUCCACCUCGCCUGAAACAAUGUCUCGACGGAUGAAUAUUUGGUCACAACCCACAGCCUCAGAUCUCUUGACUAGUGUUGGAUCACCAUGGAAAUUCCUCCUCUUCAAGAAAGCAGGCAUUAUUUCUCUUUGUAUUUUCUUGUCCCUGGUGAAUAUACAGUGGUAGCUGCUGCAUUGAUAGAUGAUGCUAAUGACAUCCUCAGGGCUCGAGCACAGACUGAUUCCCCUGAUGAGCCAGUUUUCUGUUGGGGACCUCCGUAUAAUGUCCUUGUCAUUGGGACUGCAUGAAUCGUGCAUUGGCUUUCUUCCUCAACUCUUCAACCCCGCCUUCCACUUGAAAAUGAAGUCUUUCUGUCUCUGUGUUUCUCACAAAUGUAUAACUUUUAAGUCUAUGGAUUGGUUUGUAAAUACAUGUCUGAAACAUUUUCCUUUUUUCUUUCUUUUUUGUUCGUUAGGAGUUUCCUUUAAUACUUAAUCGUGUAUAAGUCACCACUUUUUACACGCAAAAUAAAUUGAUUGUUAGAUGA